rnacentral:misc_RNA from 1 species
GGAAGUAAAAGUGUAACAAGGUUUCCGUAGGUGAACCUGCGGAAGGAUCAUUAUUGUAUAACCGAGGUGCGAGGGCUGUCGCUGACCCGAAAGGUCGUGCACGCCCGAGUGCCCUCACACACAUCCAUCUCACCCCUAUGUGCACCACCGCGUGGGUCCCCCUUUGGCUUGUUCGGAGGGGGGCUUACGUUUUCACACAAACUUUGUAUGCAGUGUAGAAUGUAUUUUUUGUUUUUGCGAUCACGCAAUCAAUACAACUUUCAACAACAGAUCUCUUGGCUCUC